rnacentral:rRNA from 1 species
CCUACGGGUGGCAGCAGUAGGGAAUAUUGGUCAAUGGGGGAAACCCUGAAGCAGCAACGCCGCGUGGAGGAUGAAGGUUUUCGGAUUGUAAACUCUUUUUGUUAGAGAAGAUAAUGACGGGAUGUAACGAAUAAGCACCAGCUAACUGCGUGCCAGCAGCCGCGGGAAUAAGGAGGGCGGAAGCGUUAAUCGGAAUGACUGGGCGGUAAGAGCGCGUAGGCGGGAUAGUAAGUUAGAUGUGAAAUCCUAUGGCUUAACCCUAGAACUGCCGUUGAAACUGUGAGCCUAGAGUAUGCGAGAGGUAGGUGGAAUGCUUGGUGUAGGGGUUAAAUCCGUAGAUAUCACGCAGAAUCCUCAUUGCGAAGGCGACCUUCUGGAACCCUACUGACGCUGAUGCGCGAAAGCGUGGGGAGCAAACAGGAUUAGAUACCCGAGUAGUC